UUCUGCAAUAAUCCAAAAUCACAUGGAGAAAUCCCAAUUGGACCAGGGAGAUGCUGCCUUCAGGGUCCAACAGCUGCUCUACUCUAUGACACUGUGGCUUUAACUUUUAACUGUGUCCUGUUUCAGAUCAAAGUGUGUGACACGUGUCAGCACACAGAAAGGAGUAAAAACCUGGCCAGGACGGUCCGGCCCAUUAAAGUGGACGCACCUUGGGAGAUCGUUGGGAUUGACAUUAUAGGGCCUUUCCCAGAGACGCAGCAGGGGAACUCUAACGUCAUAGUGCUCAUCGAUUACUUCAGUAAAUGGCCCGAAGCUUUUCCGGUUCAGAGGACGGAUGCUCUCUCUGUCGCAAAAUGCAUUUCCAAAUGCAUAUACAGAUUCUCCCUCUAGUACGAGAAAAACAAAGAGCUUUUUGAACAUCGAAGCAUGGAGACAUGUCACAUAUUCAAUGUGUCGCUAUCUCAAAGCAAAGGUUUGGUGCCCCUAAAACAAUAGUGUGCACGCAGAACGCUGACUUCUGUGAUGAGGUGAG